GAUGAACGCUGGCGGCGUGCCUAAUACAUGCAAGUCGAGCGAACAGACGAGGAGCUUGCUCCUCUGACGUUAGCGGCGGACGGGUGAGUAACACGUGGAUAACCUACCUAUAAGACUGGGAUAACUUCGGGAAACCGGAGCUAAUACCGGAUAAUAUAUUGAACCGCAUGGUUCAAUAGUGAAAGACGGUUUUGCUGUCACUUAUAGAUGGAUCCGCGCCGCAUUAGCUAGUUGGUAAGGUAACGGCUUACCAAGGCAACGAUGCGUAGCCGACCUGAGAGGGUGAUCAGCCACACUGGAACUUAGACACGGUCCAGACUCCUACGGGAGGCCGCAGUAGGGAAUUUUCCGCAAUGGGCGGAAGCCUGACGGAGCAACGCCGCGUGAGGGAUGAAGGUCUUCGGAUCGUAAAACUCUGUUAUUAGGGAAGAACAAAUGUGUAAGUAACUAUGCACGUCUUGACGGUACCUAAUCAGAAAGCCACGGCUAACUACGUG
rnacentral:rRNA from 1 species